GAAGGGAGCUUGCUCCCGGAUGUUAGCGGCGGACGGGUGAGUAACACGUGGGUAACCUGCCUGUAAGACUGGGAUAACUCCGGGAAACCGGAGCUAAUACCGGAUAGUUCCUUGAACCGCAUGGUUCAAGGAUGAAAGACGGUUUCGGCUGUCACUUACAGAUGGACCCGCGGCGCAUUAGCUAGUUGGUGGGGUAAUGGCUCACCAAGGCGACGAUGCGUAGCCGACCUGAGAGGGUGAUCGGCCACACUGGGACUGAGACACGGCCCAGACUCCUACGGGAGGCAGCAGUAGGGAAUCUUCCGCAAUGGACGAAAGUCUGACGGAGCAACGCCGCGUGAGUGAUGAAGGUUUUCGGAUCGUAAAGCUCUGUUGUUAGGGAAGAACAAGUGCGAGAGUAACUGCUCGCACCUUGACGGUACCUAACCA
rnacentral:rRNA from 1 species